AGAGUUUGAUCCUGGCUCAGGAUGAACGCUGGCGGCGUGCCUAACACAUGCAAGUCGAACGGAGUUACUUUGGUGAAGUUUUCGGAUGGAUCUGAUUUAACUUAGUGGCGGACGGGUGAGUAAUGCGUGAGCAACCUGCCCUUCAGAGGGGGACAACAGUUGGAAACGACUGCUAAUACCGCAUAAUGUAUUCGGGAGGCAUCUUCUGGAUACCAAAGGAGAAAUCCGCUGAUGGAUGGGCUCACGUCUGAUUAGCUAGUUGGUGAGGUAACGGCUCACCAAGGCUGCGAUCAGUAGCCGGACUGAGAGGUUGAACGGCCACAUUGGGACUGAGAUACGGCCCAGACUCCUACGGGAGGCAGCAGUGGGGAAUAUUGGGCAAUGGGCGAAAGCCUGACCCAGCAACGCCGCGUGAAGGAAGAAGGCCUUCGGGUUGUAAACUUCUUUUAAGAGGGACGAAGAAGUGACGGUACCUCUUGAAUAAGCCACGGCUAACUACGUGCCAGCAGCCGCGGUAAUACGUAGGUGGCGAGCGUUAUCCGGAUUUACUGGGUGUAAAGGGCGCGUAGGCGGGAAUGCAAGUCAGAUGUGAAAUCCAAGGGCUCAACCCUUGAACUGCAUUUGAAACUGUAUUUCUUGAGUGUCGGAGAGGUUGACGGAAUUCCUAGUGUAGCGGUGAAAUGCGUAGAUAUUAGGAGGAACACCAGUGGCGAAGGCGGUCAACUGGACGAUAACUGACGCUGAGGCGCGAAAGCGUGGGGAGCAAACAGGAUUAGAUACCCUGGUAGUCCACGCCGUAAAC
rnacentral:rRNA from 1 species